UUCACGUGCUAAUGUUUCCGGCUUUGCCUCAUGACAUCGUCAUGUUCAGUGAAACAGCACGGCUAAGUCUCUUCGAAGCCGCUUCUAUCUCCAUCUGUGCGAGCACGUACGUUGUCUGGAUCUACGUCGAUCACUUGCGCGACAACUAGAUAGUGAAACCAGGCGACCAACGCAAUAGACAGGCUAGUGUUUCUCCAUCAGAGUCUGUUUGUAUAAUGUUUCUGUUCAUAUUGUGUGUGGUGAAGCGAUAGUUGGAAGUACGAGUUAGAGAAUGGACGAUAGGGCGGUCUCCUUGAAAGAAAGGCGGUGACGUGUUGUCUUUUAUCAUAUUUACCCUUGUACUUCGUCUUCGGUCUUUAGAUGUUAGGAGAUAAAGCAGGUGUACUUGCUUUCAACCAACGUAUGUUGCAGCGCAUCGCAGUCGACUAGAGGAGAUAUAUUUAUGGUUUCAGAUAGGCUCUUUAUUGUGCAUGUAUUAGACAAUGAAGGUGCAUGACAAUGAAGAUGCAUUAAAUUUGUUAGGACAGUAAAGAUCACGGAAAUUGCUGGAUCUUAGUUCGUCAAUGUAAGAAUGGUGCGGGAAGUGCACUGUCAACAUGCAAAGUACUGACAGCCUCAUUAGGUGUGGAAUGUACUUGUAAGCAGAUUCAUUCGAAUUUCUUUUUAUCCACUGACGAAGGUUCUGUUUGUCGAUUUUGUAUUUUGUUGCCACACGUUGUUCAGAGAUGAUGCUCUACUUUCCUUCACAAUAUUCAAUUUUUAAGAUCUCUUUUUCUCUUCGUGGACAGUUCUUGUCAAAUGGCAAACUAAACAAUGAGUGUGAACAAUGUCGGAUACCAGUCUUCGGCUCCAAGGCAUGGGUUACUGUUCAAACAUGGGUUACUAUCAUUUCAAACUGAUCAGAUCCUUCAGUUAUAUUUGAGUACAGUUUAUUAUUCAAGGAAAUAUGAAAGUGUGAAGAAAGAAAAAAGACGGUAAAGCAGCAAUGAUGUAUACUGGGUAUAUUUAUGUAUUUUCAAUAUUGUAGUACAGUACUGUGCAGAUGUAACACUACAUCAGAGGUUUCACUGAUCAACU